UACGUAGGGGGCAAGCGUUGUCCGGAAUUAUUGGGCGUAAAGCGCACGUAGGCGGCCCGACAAGUCGGAUGUGAAAUCCCUCGGCUCAACCAAGGAAGUGCAUCCGAAACUGUCAGGCUUGAGUACAAAAGAAGAUCGCGGAAUUCCCGGUGUAGAGGUGAAAUUCGUAGAUAUCGGGAGGAACACCAGUGGCGAAGGCGGCGAUCUGGGUUGAUACUGACGCUGAGGUGCGAAAGCGUGGGGAGCAAACAGG
rnacentral:rRNA from 1 species